rnacentral:rRNA from 1 species
GACGAACGCGAGCGGCGUGCUUAACACAUGCAAGUCGAACGAUGAAGCCGGAGCUUGCUCUGGUGAAUUAGUGGCGAACGGGUGAGUAACACGUGAGUAACCUGCCCUUGACUCUGGGAUAACUGUGGGAAACUGUAGCUAAUACCGGAUACGACCCUCGGAGGCAUCUCCUGGGGGUGGAAAGAAUUUCGGUCAAGGAUGGACUCGCGGCCUAUCAGCUAGUUGGUGAGGUAAAGGCUCACCAAGGCGAUGACGGGUAGCCGGCCUGAGAGGGUGACCGGCCACACUGGGACUGAGACACGGCCCAGACUCCUACGGGAGGCAGCAGUGGGGAAUAUUGCACAAUGGGCGCAAGCCUGAUGCAGCAACGCCGCGUGAGGGAUGACGGCCUUCGGGUUGUAAACCUCCUUUAGCAGGGAAGAAGCGAAAGUGACGGUACCUGCAGAAAAAGCACCGGCUAACUACGUGCCAGCCGCCGCGGUAA